UAGUUCGUGGUGCUGUGCUGGCCUUUCGGCGGCAUGUGCACGCAUUGCAAUUAUUUCAUUAUCUUUUUGUGAACCAGUGUAGGCUUGGUCCUUUGUCGGUGGAAGCUUUAGAGCGAUAACGCCGUUCGUAGGACUGGGUCUAUGAUUUAUAUCAAACCUUUGUAUGUUUUUGAAUGUCUUUUUAUUGGCCGUAAGGCUAGUAAAUCUAUACCACUUUCAGCAACGGAUCUCUUGGACUCUCCCAUCGUAGUCGAAGAACGCAGCGAAAUGCGAUAAGUAACUGUGAAUUGCAGAAUUCCGUGAAUCAUCGAAUCUUUGAACGCNCCUUGCGCCUUUUGUUACACCCAAGGGCAUGCUUGUUUGAGUGUCAUUAAAUUCUCAAAAACCUUUGGUUUGUUCUGAAGGCUUUUGGAUGUGAGGGCUUGCUGGCUUUCGGGUCUGCUCCCUUUAAAUGCAUUAGUGGAUUCCUUUGUGAACGGUCACUUGGUGUGAUAAUCUAUCUACGCCGCUUGACUUGAAGCAAGCCUUAUGGGAGUUCGCUCAUAACCGUCUUUCGAGACAACUCUUUGACCAUUUGACCUCAAAUCAAGUAGGACUACCCGCUGAACUUAAGCAUAUCAAUA
rnacentral:rRNA from 1 species